rnacentral:rRNA from 1 species
GUUAAGCGACUAAGCGUACACGGUGGAUGCCCUGGCAGUCAGAGGCGAUGAAGGACGUGCUAAUCUGCGAUAAGCGUCGGUGAGGUGAUAUGAACCGUUAUAACCGGCGAUUUCCGAAUGGGGAAACCCAGUGUGUUUCGACACACUAUCAUUAACUGAAUCCAUAGGUUAAUGAGGCGAACCGGGGGAACUGAAACAUCUAAGUACCCCGAGGAAAAGAAAUCAACCGAGAUUCCCCCAGUAGCGGCGAGCGAACGGGGAGGAGCCCAGAGCCUGAAUCAGUGUGUGUGUUAGUGGAAGCGUCUGGAAAGGCGUGCGAUACAGGGUGACAGCCCCGUACACAAAAAUGCACAUAUUGUGAGCUCGAUGAGUAGGGCGGGACACGUGGUAUCCUGUCUGAAUAUGGGGGGACCAUCCUCCAAGGCUAAAUACUCCUGACUGACCGAUAGUGAACCAGUACCGUGAGGGAAAGGCGAAAAGAACCCCGGCGAGGGGAGUGAAAAAGAACCUGAAACCGUGUACGUACAAGCAGUGGGAGCCUCUUUAUGGGGUGACUGCGUACCUUUUGUAUAAUGGGUCAGCGACUUAUAUUCUGUAGCAAGGUUAACCGAAUAGGGGAGCCGAAGGGAAACCGAGUCUUAACUGGGCGUUAAGUUGCAGGGUAUAGACCCGAAACCCGGUGAUCUAGCCAUGGGCAGGUUGAAGGUUGGGUAACACUAACUGGAGGACCGAACCGACUAAUGUUGAAAAAUUAGCGGAUGACUUGUGGCUGGGGGUGAAAGGCCAAUCAAACCGGGAGAUAGCUGGUUCUCCCCGAAAGCUAUUUAGGUAGCGCCUCGUGAAUUCAUCUCCGGGGGUAGAGCACUGUUUCGGCAAGGGGGUCAUCCCGACUUACCAACCCGAUGCAAACUGCGAAUACCGGAGAAUGUUAUCACGGGAGACACACGGCGGGUGCUAACGUCCGUCGUGAAGAGGGAAACAACCCAGACCGCCAGCUAAGGUCCCAAAGUCAUGGUUAAGUGGGAAACGAUGUGGGAAGGCCCAGACAGCCAGGAUGUUGGCUUAGAAGCAGCCAUCAUUUAAAGAAAGCGUAAUAGCUCACUGGUCGAGUCGGCCUGCGCGGAAGAUGUAACGGGGCUAAACCAUGCACCGAAGCUGCGGCAGCGACACUAUGUGUUGUUGGGUAGGGGAGCGUUCUGUAAGCCUGUGAAGGUGGCCUGUGAGGGUUGCUGGAGGUAUCAGAAGUGCGAAUGCUGACAUAAGUAACGAUAAAGCGGGUGAAAAGCCCGCUCGCCGGAAGACCAAGGGUUCCUGUCCAACGUUAAUCGGGGCAGGGUGAGUCGACCCCUAAGGCGAGGCCGAAAGGCGUAGUCGAUGGGAAACAGGUUAAUAUUCCUGUACUUGGUGUUACUGCGAAGGGGGGACGGAGAAGGCUAUGUUGGCCGGGCGACGGUUGUCCCGGUUUAAGCGUGUAGGCUGGUUUUCCAGGCAAAUCCGGAAAACCAAGGCUGAGGCGUGAUGACGAGGCACUACGGUGCUGAAGCGACAAAUGCCCUGCUUCCAGGAAAAGCCUCUAAGCAUCAGGUAACAUCAAAUCGUACCCCAAACCGACACAGGUGGUCAGGUAGAGAAUACCAAGGCGCUUGAGAGAACUCGGGUGAAGGAACUAGGCAAAAUGGUGCCGUAACUUCGGGAGAAGGCACGCUGAUAUGUAGGUGAAGCGACUUGCUCGUGGAGCUGAAAUCAGUCGAAGAUACCAGCUGGCUGCAACUGUUUAUUAAAAACACAGCACUGUGCAAACACGAAAGUGGACGUAUACGGUGUGACGCCUGCCCGGUGCCGGAAGGUUAAUUGAUGGGGUUAGCGGUAACGCGAAGCUCUUGAUCGAAGCCCCGGUAAACGGCGGCCGUAACUAUAACGGUCCUAAGGUAGCGAAAUUCCUUGUCGGGUAAGUU